ACAUGCCUACAACAUAGCAUUAAUACAAUGGAUCCCAUUAGAACUCUGUAGUUAAGAGCGCUCAGGCUAGAGUAGUAUUGGGAUGGGUAACCACCCGAGAAGUCCCAGUGUUUUACAUGCC
rfam:Picea glauca, whole genome shotgun sequence.